rnacentral:lncRNA from 1 species
GAGCCAUACCCGACCCUUUUAAUAAAAGGGCCAGCGGAAAAACCGCUGCAUUGCCGGCCCUAGUUCCAUCCCUACCAAUAUCCUUGUGUGUCUGAUUUCUGCCGUAUGUCGUCGUGAAUCGUGAGAAGGGCAGCACAAAACAAGAAGGGACUGGCGAUCGUCAACGGAAUGGUUCCUAUGAAAACCAAACGUUAAUCGUAUAUGCCUAGAACCACGCCCAUCUGUUGUCGAUUGGAGAACUCAAUACGCACCCAUCGAUUUCAAAUGCCAUUAUAACUUUUCUUAAUCGUCGAUCUCCUCGAUAAGAAGUAAGAACAAUUUCUGUCUAAAUAUGAUAUUUUGCUUUCAAAUUCCCACUUAUCAAUCUAUUACAUAGCUCUCAAAGUGUUUAUGAGACGAUUUUUGAUUUUUAAAUACAUUGAUUUCAUUAAUUUCAAGUUCUGAUUGCCCUAUUUCUUGACUUCAAACCACCUGCUUGCUGUUUGUUGGGAAGCCCUUCAAUAUUCUUAAAGUUCAACUUUUUUGAAAAUGCACCUUGCGAAUUGUGUCACUAUUAGAACAGGUCUUUUUCUUGAUUGUAAUCUGGGCAGUUGUGUGGGGGAUGUAAUUAAUCAACGAAGCAACUCAUCGGCUAAAGCUCUAUCUUUUUCCCUAUUUCAUUCUAUCUUUUCCCUUAUAUUCUUUAAGUUUUGGAGAUGAAAUUGAAUUUUCUUUUGUUUGCAAAUAUAUUGAUCUGCAUUUUCAUAUGUUUGCAAAAACUAUGGUAGUCAAUCUGACUUGAGAAUUGCUGCAUUAAGAACAUCAUCUUUGUGUUUUCAUUACUCAUGGGUGAAUAAUUGAGAUAUUAUAUAUUGGUUUUAACUUUUAAUGGUAAAUUUGAAUAUACCCUGCUGCUAUCUUUUGCUGGUUUUUGAUUUAAGAUUUUUCAACCAAAUGAUACGGUUUAACAUAUAACAUAACUUUCUUCAUGUUCAUGAAUAAAUGACUGCUGAAUUUCUAUUAUCAAAUGUCAUUUUCCUUUUUUUUUUUAUGAUAUUGAUUUGAUGUUGAUUGGUUUGAUAAUUUCAAAUCUCGUUUUGCUCACAUUGUCAAAUCUUAUAUUAGAAAGAUCCAAAACAUAUAUCUGUCUAUCUAAGGAGAUGGGGUUAGACUAAUGAGUUUGAUUAACCUCAAUUUCAGGGACAAAUUUUUUUCUAAUUUGAUAGUUCAAUGUCUUCCUUCUAUUUUGAUAUUUCAAACAUGAUUAAGUUGAGUUUGACUAAUGUGGUCUUUCUAAGGAGAUGAGGUUAGACUAAUGAGUUUGAUUAACCUCAAUUUCAGGGACAAAUUUUUUUCUAAUUUGAUAGUUCAAUGUCUUCCUUCUAUUUUGAUAUUUCAAACAUGAUUAAGUUGUACACUUUGAAGAUCGUGGAAAGGUAAGAAAUCCAUGAUCGAUUUCUUCUAUGAUGAGGCAUGGUUAGGUUUUAUGAUCCUUAAAUAGAAGUAAAGUUGUAUACAACAAUCAACAUUUGGUAUUUAGUCUUAUUGUGAUUUUUAGUUUCUAUAAAUAUGAUUUUUUUUAAAUAAAAAAGUGUGUUCAGUUUUGUUUUAUGAAUUUCUUUUAUAUAGUUUUGGUACAUAUGUAAGGGCAUCCUAAAGCCUUUUGGCCUGGGGCAUAAAAACGUAUGGACUGGCCCUGAGUGCAACGGUUUUUGUAUGUGAUUUUACACCAAAAAGACCAAAUCUAGAGUCAGAUCCUACCAAAUAUCAUUUUUUUUUAUUUUCACCACAAAAGUAAAAAUAAACCUUUCAGAUAAACCAUUAAGGGCUAAAUGCUUAAUAUAACAAUUAACUUUCUAUUUUUUUUCCCUUAUCAUAACAUCGUGGUUAUGUUUUUCUUAUUAUAGCAUUGUACUUUGUAAAACCAACCCAUUUAUAGCAAUGGGUAACCACCUACAUGUACAUGUCAUUCCAUUAUUUGUUUUGCUGACAUGACACAUUUAAGGAUGACAAGGUGGAUAGACAUCCUAUGUGGACAAUGAUAUUACAUAAAAACUUAUCACCUUGUGCCAUGUCAUUAUAUUUCAAAUUAGCAGGUUCUUCGUUGCUAUAAUUAAUGUUUUUUUUUUGAAAUACACUUACCUUGUAAAAAAAUUGGGAGUGUCAAAGUACAAUGUUAUAAUCAUCUACGAAGUGUUUUUUUUUGUUUAUCCACAGCUAUAAAUUUACAGCAUGUGCUAUUGACAUACCUCUCAAGUUUACAACAUUCCAAAAGUUAGCACAAACUUAAUUUUUACCUUUUUUUUCACAAGUUAAUACCUUUGGGAUCACUUAUUUACUAAAUUGACCUUUUGCUUUUGCAUUACAANAUAUAUAUAUAUAUUAUUGUUGUGGCGUUUCAUAAUUGUGGAUGGCUUCCAAGGGAGGGAAAAAGAAGCAAUUUAUAUUUCAAUUGCUAGGUCAAAUUCAAAGAAGAGGUAUUUUUUUUAAUUUUUUUUUUAUUAUUGUGGUGUUUUAUAAUUGAUUCAAAAUUCAAUCAAAAUGUUGACAUUGGUUUUAAAAUUCAAUUAACUCUUCUGUUUAUGCAAAAAGACCAAAAUACCUUUAUCAUCUAUUUUUAAAUAAGACACUAGUUUAAUAAUUUUAUUAUUUUUUUUUAUAUUUUCAUUCUUAUUGAAAUCUUAUAUGAUUAUUAUAUUUUUUUCUUAUCCGAAUUCUUUUCAAAUUUACUGAUAUCUUAUAUGGUAAUUAUUAUCUUAAAUUAUGUAUGAUUUUAUCUAUUUUUGUAAUUAUAUUUCAUAUUUAUUGAAAUCUUAUAUGUAUAUUAUAUAUAUUUUUUUCUUAUCUGAGUUCUUUUCAAAUUUAUUGAUAUCUUAUAUGGUAAUUAUUAUCUUAAAUUAGGUAUGAUUUUAUCUGUUUUUGUAAUUUUAUUUGAUAUGAUAUAUUGAUCUUAUUUUUGAUAUGAUACCAUACUUAAGACAUAUUUAAGUAUGGAAAUGAUAUUACAUUUCAAUAUCUUUAUGUCAUAUUAACAUUAACCAAUUUUAUAUUUCCCUACAAAUAUUGGGUCUAUGAUUUUUCAUUCCAAAUCAAUUUUUUCUCCAACAAUUAACUCAUUUCAUUACAGAUAAUAGAAUUCCGCGGCGACUAACAUUCCAAAUCAAAUCGUGUUUGAUAAGAUUAUUGAAAUCGAUGCAUCUUAAGAGUCUUGGAACAUACGUGUUAAUGUCAUCUUGCUUUGGUAGCAGACCUAUAAAAACAAUCCUAAAAUGGUCGGGAGCCUGGACAUGAUUUUAAUUGACCAGCAGAUAUUGUAUUUAAAAAUUACAAUCAACUUUACUCUAUGUAAAAAUAUAAGAAGUACUGUACUUCACAUCAUCUGUAGAAUAUAUACAAAAAACACAGUUGUCUUUUUUUUUUUUUUUAAUCAAAAAUACUUAUUUUGUGAUACUUUUUCUUUAAAUUUUAUUUCUAUUUUAUUAAAUUCUAAUAAACAAUAUUAGUUUUAUGUAGUUUUAUUACUUCUCUUUCAUUGUCACCUAUAAUGCAUUAGAAUACAAACAAUAAUAAAAAAAUUCUUAUUCUUGUAUUUGAAUCGAUAUUCGAUUAAGGAGAUGUCAGAGAGAUCGGUACCUUUGUUAUGGCUAGCAAUGAAGGCGAUUACAUGCUUCUUCCUCAGAAACAUAAAAUCAAUUUCUACAAAACCACAAAAGUUCGUGUAUCCAUUGAUUUUGUUAAUAUGGUAAAUCCUUAUGAUUUUGUCGCUUUCCCAGAUUUGCUAGUCAGGAACUUUGACACUUGUGUUGCAUUUGGGAUGUUGUUUUGUUAUUAGUUUAACUUAUUUCUAUACUUCAGUUUUUCAUGUAAUACACAUUGGUAUUAUUAUUACUAAUUUGUUGCUGUUUCUUUCUUAAAGAUCCCAAAAAUAGAAAAGCUCAAGUAAGUUUAAGCCAUUCUUCAUUAUUUGAGAUUUUAGUUUGUCAUUCAUCAUUAUUUGACAUUUUACUUUGCAAACUCUUUUUUAUUAGUUUUUAUUGUUUGCUUAUGGAUUUGUUUGACAAAAGCAAACAAUAAAGAUUAAUAAAAAAAGUAUAAAAACUAAAAUGUAGAAUAAUGAUGAAUGGCUUAAAACUUAUUCGAGCUUUUCCAUUUUUGGGAUCUUCAAGGAAGAAGCAACAACAAAUUAGUAAUAAUAAUUCGAAUGUGUAUUACAUUAAAAACUGAAGUAUAGAAAUAAUUUAAACUAGUAACAGAACAACAUACCAAAUGCAACACGAGUGUCAAAGUUCCUGGCUAGCAAAUUUGGGAAAACAAUAAAAUCAUAAGGAUCUACCAUAUCAACAAAUCAGUAGAUACACGAACUUUUGUGGUUUUGUAGAAAUUGAUUUUAUGGUUAUUAAGAACAAGGAUGUAAUCGUCUUCAUUGUUAUCCAUAGCAAAGUUACCGAUCUCUCUGACAGCUCCUUCAUCGAAUAGGGAUUCAAAUACAGGAAUAAGAAUUUUUUUAUUGUUGCUUGUAUUCUACUGCUCUAUAGGUGACAAUGAAAGAUAAGUAAUAAAACUACAUAAAACUAAUAUUAUUUAUUAAAAUUUAAUAAAACAAAAAUAAAAUUUAAAGAAAAAGUAUCACAAAAUAAGUCUUUUUGAUAAAAAAACAAUUGUGUUUUUUGUAUUUAUUCUACGGAUGAUGCGAGGUACAUUACUUCUUACAUUUUUACAUAAAGUAGAUUGUUAUUUUUACAUACAAUACCUAUUGGUCAAUUUAAAUCAUGUCUAGGCUCCCGACCAUUUUAGGAUUGUUUUUAUAGGCCUGCUUCCAAAGCAAGACGACUUUAACACGUAUGUUCCAAGAAUCUUUGGAUGCACCGAUUUCAGCAACUUUAUCAAACACGACUUAAUCCGCAUUGUUAGUUGCCAUGAAAUUCUAUUAUCUGCAAUGAAAUGAGAUAAUUAGUCAGAGAGAAAACUGAUUUAGAAUGAAAAAUCGUAGACCCUAUAUUUAUAGGGAAGUAUAAAAUUGGUUAACGCUGAAAUGAUAUAAAGAUUUUGAAAUGUAAUAUCAUUUCCAUACUUCAAAUAUGUCUUAAGUAUGAUAUGAUAUCGAAAAUAAGAUUAAUAUAACCUGUCAAAUAUAAUUACAAAAAUAGAUAAAAUCAUACCUAAUUUAAGAUAAUAAUUACCAAAUAAGAUAUCAAUAAAUGUGAAAAGAAGUCGGAUUCAUAUAAUUACAAAAAUAGAUAAAAUCAUACCUAAUUUAAAAUAAUAAUUACCAUAUAAGAUAUCAAUAAAUUUGAAAAAAAGUCGGAUAAGAAAAAAAUAUAAUAAACAUAUACGAUUUCAGUAAAUAUGAAAAUACAAAACAAAUUAAUAAAAAAUUAAUAACCUAGUGUCUUAUUUUUUAAUUAAAAAUAAAAAAUACCUCUUUCGCUGAAUUUUACCUAACCAUUGAAAUAAUAAUCGCUUCCUUUUCCCUCCCUUGGAAGCCAUCCAUAGUUAUAAAACGCCAUAAUAGUAAAAAAUAAAAAAAAUAUCUCUCCCACCUCAUCAUUCUUUCAAUAACAUCAUUGUAUUGCAAAAGCAAAAUGUCAAUUUAGUAAAUACAUGAUCCCAAAGGUAUUAACUUGUGAAAUAUAACUAAAAAUUAAGUUUGUUUUAACUUUUGGAAUGUUGUAAACUUGAGAGGCAUGUCAGCAGCACAUGUUGUAAAUUUACAUCUGUGAAUAAACAAAAAAAAAACAAUUCAAAAAAUACCAGUUAUAGCAAUGAGGAACCUGCUAAUUUGAAGCAUAAUGACAUGACAUAAGGUGAUAGGUUCUUAUGUAAUGUCAUUGUCCCCUUAGGAUGUCUAUCCACCAUGUCAUCCUUAAAUGUGUCAUGUCAUCAAAACAAAUAAUGGAAUGACACGUACAUGUAGGUGGUUACCCAUUGCUAUAAAUGGGUUGGUUUUACAAAGUACAAUGCUAUAAUAAGAAAAAAAACACGAUGUUAUGAUAAAAGAAAAAAAAUAAAAAGUAAAUUGCUAUAUUAUACAUUUAGCCAUUAAUGGUUUAUCUGAAGGGUUUAUUUUUACUUUUGUGGUGAGAAUAAAAAAAAAUGAUACCAAGCAGGAUCUGGCUGUAGAUUUGGUCUUUUUGGUGUAAAACCAUAUAUGAAAACGGUUGCACUUUUGGCAUGUAAUUCGCCUUCACUCUCCCAAAGGAUCAUCCACAUGAACCUCGAUGCGACCAAAUGCAGAUCUAAAUAAUGCAAUUUGUUUGUUCUGAAUCAUAAAUUUAUGUCACAAAUUAUUUCACAAUAAUAAAACAAUUCCGUUUUUUAAAAAACAUUCGAAUCCAUGUUUAUCUAUUUGCCCAUCGGCAACCCUUACAAAAUUCAAGUGAAAUUGAUUGAGGUCCAUAAUAAGUUUCCUACAUUGUCUUAUUAACCAGUGUUUUAGGGUUUUGCCGUUAACCUCUGUAGAUGUAUGAGUUUUAGUAGGAGAAAAUCAAAUUAAAGGUUACUCUUAAACUUGUGUAAAAUAAAACUUCCUGCUAUUGGACUCUUGGAAGAAGAACAAGCGACAUAACUUCUAUUUGUUAAACUAAAUGCUUUUAUUUGUUUCUUUUUUCUUCUGUGGGGAGCAAAUUACAUAAUAAAAAUCUCACUCUUCUAAACAUUAGGGGUCUACAGUCUAUAAUAGACAAAAUGUGAUAACAAGCUAGGUAAUGAUGGUUGAAUCUGAGUGCAAAAGUAAAACAUAAAUAACAAUCAAACCUUCAGAGAAGCAUUUUGAAAUAUACGGAAAUAAUUCAGAAGAUAUUAUUACAAGAUACCAACUUACCAGCAACUCAAUUCUUUAUAUAAUUGUUAGACUACAAGGACAAUGGUCUCUUUCAAUUAACUAUGAGAACAAAAGUGAAGGCAUGUACAUAUGAAUAUACUUACAAUAUGAAAUGAACUUAUAGGAAGUUCUCAGGGACCAACAAUGUAGUUUACUCAAUAAAAAAUUAAAUACACAUUGUUAAAUGGGAUAAAAGAAUAAAUUGGUUAAAGUACUUAGGCUCCCCAAAAACAUGCAUUGAAGAAACGAUAUGAGCGAUACCCCUAGAGUCUUUGACCAUAUUGACAUUAUUCACAUAUUUUUGCCUUGGUGCUAUAUCAGAACUCCUUUAACCUUACAUUUAAUAAAACAUUGGUUAUAAUAAACCCUUUAAUUUUUUUAAAUAUGAGAAUUUCAAUGAACAUUGAAUAAAGAAGAAUUACAAUGAACCAAACACUUACAAGUAGGAUUGUUUUGAUUAAUUUUUGACUAAAUUACAAUUUUGAUCGCUAAGUUUAGCUGAAUUUUUUGGUUUCAGUCGCUAAAAGAUUUUUGUUGUAAUUUUCGUCAUUAUUUUAAGGUUUUCUUUCACUUUUGAUUCUUCAGUCAUCUAAGUUAACAGUCUAGCUGUUUAUCUAAAUGUCUAUUUUGCCCUUGGACCAAAGCUGAAAAAAUAGUAUACUUAAUACUGUGGAAAAGUGUACGAUUUAUAUUUGUAUCAGUGUAAUGUGUACAUUCUUCUGAUCUUAUAUUUUUAACAAAAUAGUAUAUUUCAAUUACUAUAACCUUAAUUAUAUAAAAUAAAAUGGAGCAAACUACGUAUUUGGUCCCAAUAUAGACUUUUUUCUUCAAUUUUGGUCCAUGGACAAAAUGACCAUUGUGUAAAACAAGAAUCAUAUAUUUAUAAAAAUUAAAAACCUGAAAAGGUCAUCAAUGAUAAGUAAUAUCUGAACAACCAUUCUAUCAUGGGCAACCUCAACAUGCUUCGGUCUGUAACAUGCACGAUGUGGAUCCCACAACAAAAACAAAUAAUAUCAAAAUGACUAUUAACAUACGUUUUAAGGACUAAUUUACAAUACUGCCAUCGAAGUUGGAAACUUACAUUAGUAAGCAUAAUGAAGAAAUCCAUGAGAACUCGCACCUCUUUGGCUGCUUUUGUAUCUUUGAUAAUAUUCAUUACAUUUGGAGCAUCAAAAACCUCUCUUAAACUAUUUUUGUGUAACAAAGAAAACAAAAAAUGCUACUUAAAUGACAUUAAAUUUUUUGAAGAAAUGAAUAUAAGAAAAAUCCAUAAUUGUAUCCUGAAGUGGAGUGUACAAGAAUGAUGUGUGAUUUGUUCUUAAUUAUGUCCCUCAAAUUUCUCCUUUCUACUUCCAACAUUAAAUGCAGAUGAGAAAAUAAAUUGGUGGUUGUUUGGAAACAGGCCAAGAUGCUACUGAAACAAUGUUUAUCUGGAAUGAGUUUUUGAUUACUGCAAUCGACAAUCAUGUCAACAAUAACCUCUGGAAACAUUCUUCUGAUUUGAUUUCAAUCAAUUUAUUCAAGUUCAACCAAAAGUCAAACCAUAUAUAACACAUGAAGAGAGCAUCCAAUGUUGCUGAUUUGUAUAAAACUUAAAUUAAGUCUAACUUAACAUUCUUUUUAACCCAAAAUACAGCACAAGAAGACCUUGAAAAGAAUAAGAAAGUUAAAGAAAUAAUUACCCUUUUGUAGGCAUUGGAAUCAAGGCCGUUCUUAAAAAUUUCAGCCACAUUGUUCCUCAAAUACUUUUGCGUUGCAUUCCUCUUUGUCAUUAUCAAAUUAAGUCGUGUCUCCAUCAUCUUGAUUUGUGACUUGCUGAUAUUGCAAAUUCAUCAUUGCAUAGAAGUAUUGAUAACCCGACACUUUCGAUUUGGCCAACAUCAUCAAAAAUUUCCUAGAAGAAAGAAAGAAAAGAUCAGUAAAAGGGGAAAAUCGCAUAAGGAAUUGUAACAAUGAAAUUGAUAUUGAUAAAGAUAACAAAAAAACAAAAUGAUGAAGAAUAGAAUCGAUUACACAAAUGCACUACGGAAAGAUAAGAAAUUUUGAAUUUGUGAGUAAAAUCAAGACGAAUUAACCAUAUUCCUGGAGGUGUUUGAAGAGGCGAGAUAGAUGCAAAUUAGGAAUAUGUUUUUUUGCAUGAUUAUAGUAAAAAGGAAUGGUUUUUAUGUUUCUUUAGGUUACAAUUGAGAGAGAGGGUAGAUGACGAAGGAAAGAAAAGAGAAGGGUGUAACGGAGUUUGAAUAAUCCUUGGUAAAGGAUGAUGUCAGCAAAUAAUCCAAGGGUGAAAAAUUAAGGAUAGAAAUGUAAUGAAUGGUCCCGAUUUCUUAAGAUUAGAAUUUAAGUUUCUAUUUUAAUAAUAUUUAGAGAUAAUCGUCCUCGAAUUUUAAAUCACGAGCAUAUGUGUGGGAAAUCUAUUACAUAUUAUAAAUAGAUGAAUGUAACAUACACAUUCUGAAAUAGUGUUAUGUUAUUAUUAAAAGUGAAUAAAAUUGAGUGUUGAGUUCUAACAGAUAGUUUUUACUAGAAAUAAAGUAAAACUAUGUUUAGAAUCACUCAUAAAAUAUUGGAAGUCUUAUGAGAUUCCAGUUAAAAGUCAAAUAGUGAAAUUUAGCGAAAAUAUAAAAAUUUGAAAUAAGUGAAAUUUUAUUCUUUAAAUGUAGAUAAUUUCAUUAGAAACUUGUAGGCGAAAACCUCGUCGAAAUCCGAGUUAUAUGACCAAUCGAAGAUCCGCGACAAAACCGGCACGACACCGAAUGACGUAAAAAAUGAGUUUUUGAUAAAUUACUUUUUAGCCUUAGUGAUCUAAAUGAAACUCGUAGUAUUUGUUAAACCGAGAAGUUCGAAAAAAAGAACGCCAAAAAUCUGACUUCGUAUGAGGAAGUUAUGAUUUUUCUAAGUUUCGGAAUAGCAGAAGACAACUAAAAACUCGAAUUUUAGAUCAAGCGAUAUUUAGCCGAUACAACCUAAACGAGAAUCGAAGGUCUCGUCAUUUGUAGUACAACGGUAAAAAGUCUGACGAAAAAGGACGUCGGAUGAAGAAAUUAUGAAUUUUUAACGGAUUUUCCUGUCCUGGUUUGUUAAAAAUAAUAAUAUUAAAAAUAAAGUCAAAAUUAGCCGACGAAGUCUAAAGGAAAGUUGUAGAUAUAUUCCCGNAAAAUUAGCCGACGAAGUCUAAAGGAAAGUUGUAGAAUAUAUUCCCGCCUACGCGUGUAUAUAAAGAACGUCAAAAAAGGAGCCCGUAUGCGAAAGUUAUGGAUUUUAGAAGUUCGGGGCUCAAUUUCCGAGGAAUCUCGCAUGGGUGGUCCGGAAUUGGCCACGUCCUCGCACGAAGCAGCCACGUCCCUCGCACGAAGCUGCUUAGUCACCGGUGUGCUGUCCGACGUGCCUUUCGGCGUCCUUGGCGACGUCUAAGACGCCUCGCAUAUGGCUGCCACCGAGCUGCUUCGCUGCUGACUCCUCCUCUCGGCCGACCUUCGGAUCUUCCCUAUAAAUAGAGGGCUUGCGAGCCUUCUCGGAUACAUUUGGAAAUUUGCCAUGUUUUACCCCCUUUUUCCAUAUUUUCUUCAUCUUAACAUUCCACGAAGCCCUGGUAUCAAUUAUAACCCCCGAAAUACGCCACGAAGUGCCCGAGAAGCCCGAAAAAUUUAUCUUUUCGGUUUUGAAGCCCUACGUUCGCAGAGCCCGGUUUUCAAUUAAGCUCCCAGUUUUCAACAUAGAAAGUCAUAUUUAAAGCCGAAGUGCUGCCCAAAUUACUAUUUUGACCCCCGGUCAAUUCAAUGUGAGUUCAAUAUAUAGGAACAAAUUGUAUGUUAUGUGUUAUAUGUGCUAUGUGUUUUUUAGUGUUAUUAUUCUGAGUUAUUUUCCCGUGUUAUUUUAUUCGCUAUUUUUAUAGCAAAAGUAAUACCUUUGACCAUGUGAUCAGUGAAAGGACUUAGAUUCACAUUGGUACUGGUACGUAGCCUCUGGCGAUGUAGAGCAUGUCUCCGUAAGAGAAUGACUUCUAUUCUAUGGCAUUGGCCAAUGGUUAGAUAGAGCUAUAAGCCUGAAAUCUACCGAGAUGUUAAUCAGAAAUCUUAUGUCUUCUGUGCCAUUUGGGCCGAAGCUUUAUUGAUGUAUAUCAACUAUGGAAAUUGUUAUGUCUCAUUGAUUGUAUAUCUUUGAAUCAAGUCAUUGAAUGAUAUGGAAAGCUUAACACAUGAUUCACAUAUGCCUUUUUUUGUUCCUUAUUUUUCUUUGCUUCUGCCAUAUUGAAGUAUAUAUAUGACAUACCAUUAUAUUGUAUCUAUUAUUGAACUCACUAAGCGUCACCGCUUACCCUCUCAAUGUUUAACAAUUGCAGGAUAUAAGUAAUCAGUAUGAUCGUCUACUGUUCGAAGAUUUAGAAUAGUUUGUAAUAGUACUUUUGUAUUUCAGUUUAGGUUUGUAUAAAUUAUAAUAUCCUGGGUAGUUAUGUAAUACAUAACACUUUGUAAUAGUCGGUUUGUAUCCAAUAGUUUGUAGCCUCUUUAACAAUGUAAAAUAUUGCUUUUAUGAAUAUGCAAGUAGCAUGUUUUAGAGUAAUAAUAUUGUGAAGUAUGAAAGUUUGGGUCUUUCAGAAAUACGAAUGUUGUGGUCUUUCAAUCAUGGUAUCAGAGCAGUAGUUUAAGCGAACUAAAUGUCACGGAUUGGUAUUUAGACUUAAACUGUUGGAAGUUCAAUAUAUGAACGGAUUCAUAGUAAAUAUAUGGAUACAAACCAUAGGAAAUACUUAAAUGGGGUAUUGGGUAGUGAUAAACCCUAGUAUUCUAAGAUAUUAAGUUACUUCAGAAUUUUCAGAGAAUUAGUUUAAGUGAACUAGAAAUUUUGAGAAUUUCUAAACUUAAAUAAGAAUUGUUAAGUGAAGAUGAUACGAUAUGUAUCUGGUAUAUUUUAGGUUGAAUACCUAAUGGAGACAAACACUAGAAUAUUAAGAGGAAAUAUGCCUUAUAUUCUAAUAUGUGAAAAAAUGAAUAUAACAUGCCUUAGAGUGCUUAUCUAUAAUUGCUAUUAUUUGAGAAAGUUUAAGGUUUGACAUCGAUAAGUUUAUAAAUAAACGAUCGCAGAAUAUCAUAAAAUAACAAAUAUGAAGUGUUAUCGUAAAUAGUGUAUUAAUACCAAUAGAGUGGUAUUAUACAUUUAAAGUAUGUUUAAUGAUAUAAUAACAUCUUUGGAAGAAAGAUGUGCGUAUGAAACACGUUUGGGAGAGAUAAAUGUGUUGGUGCAAAUCCAUGAAGUUGUUUCCACCGCUGUUUAGAUUGAAGCAGUGAUUGUUUAGAGAGUCGGAAGAACCGAAGAUGGCGAUCAAUACUUCGAUAGUAUCUUAAUUGAUGUUGUACAAGAUUUAGAAGAAUUAAAGGAAGGACUAAUGAAGUUUUCAGACUCAAUAGGCCAAGACUUUGUCAAAAACAUUGUAAUGUAGUAUGCAGUUUGAGUAGUAACCCUAUAUAGGAUAUUCAGACUUAGUAUUUAUUAAUGCUGAGUGAUGGAUAACUUCUAUCACAUCCUUAUGGAAGUUCCAAAGUGUGUUAAGUUGACUUUAACAUACAAUAUUAGGAUGGUGAACUGAGUCAUUUAGUGGUAAAUGGUUAAGAAGCUUACUUGUCUAAGUAAGGUAGAAUGCUCAUUUAAAGAAGAAAUACACCCAUAGUAUCGUAUGAGAAGAGAUGUUGUAGUCAGGAAUGCCAGAGACCUAAGUUGAAGCUAGUAGAGCUUGCUGAGAUGCAACUAUAUUGCGUACUUUCUAGGAUAGAAUCCUAUGAAGUAGACUUAAACGAAUAUACUUAAGAGAAGAAGACUUACUCAUAUACAUGAAUGAUGAUGUCAAGGAAGAAUAAUGAAAUGAACAAAUAUGCAUGGUGAGUUAUAUGAGUUAGGAGAUAAUGCAGGUAUUUGGAAACCGUUUGUCUUCAGGCUACAAGAGUAAAUUUUGGUAUUGCAUGUCUUGCAGAGUAGACACUACCCGAGAAAGAAUUUAUACGAAGAAUUUGGAAGUGAAAUUCCUAUUAACCUAGGAAAAGUAUUAAAAAAUGCUAGGUCAAGCAUAUGCAAGAAAAGAAUCCUAGAAGGUGAAUAUAGGAAAUCCAAGAUAUGUUUGAUAGAAACGUCAAAUCCUUAAUUGAGUCUAGAGGAAAUUUUUGUAUGUACUUGUUUGAAUACAUUCAUGUGUGAUAAGUCGCUUUGUGAAAACAUUUGAAUAGUAACUUGGGAGCUGCGAGACAAUACUUGGGACGAGAAUGAGUAGGUGUGAAUAGUAGUAGAGGCCUAUACUACUGAAAGCACAUGACUCACACUUAGAUCAGGGAAAGUCACAAGGUUACCAAGAAGCUAGAAAUCAAUUCCGUUUUUGUUUGAGUAUGUCAUUACCUUCGUUUCGGUGAUGACUAAGAAGAUGAUUUUCAUUCGAACCUUAGUGCUCAUAAAGAACCAAGUUCGAUUAGUAUAAAUCCGCGAACUAAGAUGAUUGGUUCAGAAAACCAUGUCUUAUGUAGUGAUGAAACUUCAGUCAGAAAAUUGAAGAAGGAGAUGGUCAAUGUGGUAGAUAGAAAUAUAAGAAUCUUCAUUAAAGGAGUGAGCAACCAUUUGCUGGAAAUAUUACCUAUUAUAAAGACGAUGAAGAAUUUAAUUAUUCAUGGAAGGAUUACAAUAUGAAAUUUGUGAUUAUGUAAUCAAUCAAAAUAUUUUGUCAUCUGACAAAACUGAUGUGUAUACCCGAAAGCACGAGCACGAAUUAGAGAUACGUGGUGCUAUUCUUUCGGUUCCGAAGCAUCCACGUGUUGAUCAAACUUUAUUUGUUUUCUCUAUUCCGUCAGCUCGAUUUAUUUGAUCUGAUUCUAAUACAAGAGUUUGGUUCGUUAUGUGUCUUGUGCAUUAUAAAAUCAAAGGUCAUUAGAAUAUGGCCAUUCGAGUUGUUGUAGCAAAAGUAAAGACAAUAUCUUGGGUUUAGUCUAUAAACCAAGGAGCAGGAGUCUGCAAUGAAAAUUGAGUUUUAACUCAAAGAUUAGGAUCGAAGGCCCAAUAAAGAAUGAUGAGUGGGUGCAAGUUUGAACACCGCUAGUAACUAAGAAGUUUGAAGAAUUUGACAAUCGUUUGGCAAAUCAAAAGUUAAAUAUCGUACAUUUUAGAUUACCACAAAGGAAGUAAGUUAAGACUCGAAUGUUGUGACUAGUAAUUUUCUCAUAAACUCUAGAUCUGCUCACAUCUUAUUUGAUUUCAAUGCCUCAGAUUCUUUCGUGCCUUAUAAAUUCACACAUUCUAUUCAAAUUACUUGUUAUGCAAUUGUCCAAUCAUUUCAUAUAGAUGACAUAGGAAGUAUAUCAUUACUUGCUGAUAAAGUCUAUAGAGAUAGUACCAUAGGAAUUGAAGGUUAUAAUCUUCUUGCUAACCUAAUUCCUAUCUCCUUGCCCAAGUUUGAUAUUAUUCUUGGCAUAGAUUGGUUAUCAAAGAACCAUGCAGAACUCUUGUGCUACAAAAAGAUACUCCAAUAGAGAAAUACGCGCAAGUAUACUUGGACGGAAUUGUGGCGAGACAUGGUGCACCACUAAAGAUUAUUUCCGAUUGUGAUACUCGUUUCACUUCUCACUUUUGGGCGAGAAUGAAGCAUGAAUUAGGAUCUCGAGUUGCUCUUAGUACAACUUAUCAUCCUCAGACAAAUGGUCAGAAGAAGAGAGCAAUCCAAACAAUAGAAAAUAUACUGAAGGUAUAUAAAGUACUGUAUGAGCGUAAAUGUCAUACUCAAAUAUGUUGGCGUGACAUAGGACGGAAGAUCAUUGGAGGCUCUGAAAUGAUUCAAGACAUCACUGACAAGAUACAAAUUGUCCGAGAAAGAAUGAAAGCAGCCCAGGAUCGACAUAUGUCCUAUGCAGAAAAGAGGGAACGACUCGUAGAAUUCCGGGUGGAUGAUUUAGUAAUACUGAAGGUAUUUCAUGGAAAGGCGUAAUGUUACUUUGGAAGAAAGAACAGUUGGUAAGCAAGCAUACUGCUUAGAAAUUGCUUGAAGAUUUAACAGAUAUUCAUGAAGUGUUUCAUGUGAGCUAUCUGUGUAAAGGUUUAAGCAUAUAUGAUGAAAUGGUUCUAUUAUCCGAGGUGAAACUAGAUAAUAAGUUAAGUAGAAGAGGUCGUAAAUGAAAGAACGACUAAUCUACAUAAUAAAGAAGUAGAGUUGGUGCUUGUCAAGUAUAAACACCAUCAAGGCCCAAAUUAUACUUGGGAGAAUAAGAAUGAGAUAAGAGAUAAAUAUCCCCAUUUGUUUUAAUUGUUAUGAUUUCGGGGACGAAAUCCUUAAAAGGAGGAGGUAUUUGUAACAUACACAUUCUGAAAUAGUGUUAUGUUAUUAUUAAAAGUGAAUAAAUUGAGUGUUGAGUUCUAACAGAUAGUUUUUACUAGAAAUAAAGUAAAACUAUGUUUAGAAUCACUCAUAAAAAUAUUGGAAGUCUUAUGAGAUUCCAGUUAAAAGUCAAAUAGUGAAAUUUAGCGAAAAUAUAAAAAUUUGAAAUAAGUGAAAUUUUAUUCUUUAUAUUUGUAUAUAAUUUCGUUAGAAACUUGUAGGCGAAAACCUCGUCGAAAUCCGAGUUAUAACGAAGAAGUUAUGACCAAUCGAAGAUCCGCGACAAAACCGGCACGACACCGAAUGACGUAAAAAGUGAGUUUUUGAUAAACUACUUUUUAGCCUUAGUGAUCUAAAUGAAACUCGUAGUAUUUGUUAAACCGAGAAGUUCGAAAAAAAGAACGCCAAAAAUCUGACUUCGUAUGAGGAAGUUAUGAUUUUUCUAAGUUUCGGAAUAGCAGUAGACAACUAAAAACUCGAAUUUUAGAUCAAGCGAUAUUUAGCCGAUACAACCUAAACGAGAAUCGAAUGUCUCAUCAUUUGUAGUACAACGGUAAAAAGUCUGACAAAAACGGACGUCAGAUGAAGAAGUUAUGAAUUUUUAACGGAUUUUCCUGUCCCGGUCUGUUAAAAAUAAUAAUAUUAAAAAUAAAUUCAAAAAUAGCCGACGAAGUCUAAACGAAAGUUGUAGAAAAUAUUCCUGCCUACGCAUGCAUAUAUAGAACGUAAAAAACGGAGCCCGUAUGCGAAAGUUAUGGAUUUUAGAAGUUCGGGGCUCAAUUUCCGAAGAAUCUCGCAUGGGUGGUCCGGAAUUGGCCACGUCCCUCGCACGAAGCAGCCACGUCCCUCGCACGAAGCUGCUUAGUCACCGGUGUGCUGUCUGACGUGCCUUUCGGCGUCCUAGGCAACGUCUAAGACGCCUCCUAAGAUGCCUCGCAUAUGGUUGCCACCGAGCUGCUUCGCUGCUGACUCCUCCUCUCGGCCGACCUUCGGAUCUUCCCUAUAAAUAGAGGGCUUGCGAGCCUUCUCGGAUACAUUUGGAAAUUUGCCAUCUUUUACCCUUUUUUCCAUAUUUUCUUCAUAUUAACAUUCCCUGAAGCCCCGGUAUCGAUUAUAACCCCCGGCAUACGCCACGAAGUGCCCGAGAUGCCCGAAAAAUUUAUCUUUUCGGUUUUGAAGCCCUACGUUCGCAGAGCCCUGUAUUCAAUUAAGCUCCCAAUUUUCAACAUAGAAAGUCAUAUUUAAAGCCGAUUUGCUGCCCAAAUUACUAUUUUGACCCCCGGUUAAUUCAAUGUGAGUUCAAUAUAUAGGAACAAUUGUAUGUUAUGUGUUAUAUGUGCUAUGUGUUUUUUAGUGUUAUUAUUCCGAGUUAUUUUCCCGUGUUAUUUUAUUCGCUAUUUUUAUAGCAAAAGUAAUACCUUUGACCAUGUGAUCAGUGAAAGGACUUAGAUUCACAUUGGUACUGGUACGUAGCCUCUGGCGAUGUAGAGCAUGUCUCCGUAAGAGAAUGACUUCUAUUCUAUGGCAUUGGCCAAUGGUUAGAUAGAGCUAUAAGCCUGAAAUCUACCGAGAUGUUAAUCAAAAAUCUUAUGUCUUCUGUGCCAUUUGGGCCGAAGCUUUAUUGAUGUAUAUCAACUAUGGAAAUUGUUAUGUCUCAUUGAUUGUAUAUCUUUGAAUCAAGUCAUUGAAUGAUAUGGAAAGCUUAACACAUGAUUCACAUAUGCCUUUUUUUGUUCCUUGUUUUUCUUUGCUUCUGCCAUAUUGAAGUAUAUAUAUGACAUACCAUUAUAUUGUAUCUAUUAUUGAACUCACUAAGCGUCACCGCUUACCCUCUCAAUGUUUAACAAUUGCAGGAUAUAAGUAAUCAGUAUGAUCGUCUACUGUUCGAAGAUUUAGAAUAGUUUGUAAUAGUACUUUUGUAUUUCAGUUUAGGUUUGUAUAAAUUAUAAUAUCCUGGGUAGUUAUGUAAUACAUAACACUUUGUAAUAGUCGGUUUGUAUCCAAUAGUUU